CCUACGGGAGGCAGCAGUGAGGAAUAUUGGACAAUGGGCGUAACCCUGAUCCAGCGACGCCGCGUGAGUGAAGAAGGAUCUCUGGAUGUUAAACCCUAUCAGCAGGGAAGUAAAUGACGGUACCUGUCUAAGUAGCCCCGUCAGACUACGUGCCAGCAGCCGCGGCAAUACGUAGGGGGCAGGCGUAAUCCGGAUUUACUGGGUGUAAAGGGGGCGUAUUCGGUUAUGCAAGUCUGAAGUGAAAGCCCAAGGCUCAACCAUGGAACUGCUGUGGAAACUGGAAAACUGGAGUAUGUGAGAGGUAAGCGGAAUGCGUAGUGUAGCGGUGAAAUGCGUAGAUAUUAGGCGGAACCCCAGUGGCGAAGGCGGCCUACUGGACUAUAACUGACGCUGAGGCACGAAGGCGUGGGGAGCGAACAGGAUUAGAUACCCUGGUAGUC
rnacentral:rRNA from 1 species